rnacentral:rRNA from 1 species
CCCAGACUCCUACGGGAGGCAGCAGUGGGGAAUAUUGCACAAUGGGGGAAACCCUGAUGCAGCGACGCCGCGUGAGUGAAGAAGUAUUUCGGUAUGUAAAGCUCUCUCAGCAGGGAAGAUAAUGACGGUACCUGAGUAAGAAGCCCCGGCUAACUACGUGCCAGCAGCCGCGGUAAUACGUAGGGGGCAAGCGUUAUCCGGAUUUACUGGGUGUAAAGGGAGCGUAGACGGCAUGGCAAGUCUGAAGUGAAAGCCCGGGGCUCAACCGCGGGACUGCUUUGGAAACUGUUAAGCUGGAGUGCAGGAGAGGUAAGUGGAAUUCCUAGUGUAGCGGUGAAAUGCGUAGAUAUUAGGAGGAACACCAGUGGCGAAGGCGGCUUACUGGACUGUAACUGACGUUGAGGCUCGAAAGCGUGGGGAGCAAACAGGAUUAGAUACCCGCGUAUA